rnacentral:lncRNA from 1 species
GCCGAGAGCCGGCGUCCGAGCAGCCAGCUGGCCCUCCUGGAGGAGGUGACUGUCCUCCUAGGAGCUGCCUGGCUUCUUUGCUCCCGAAGGCAUCUCCGAGGCCGAGCGUGAGGACCAGCGUGCGGCUUGGUGGGCGUGGAGCCCAGGCGGACCUAAGCUGGGGCGCUGGGAGUGAAGCCGCAGCCCGGGGCCCAGGAACUCCGCGCCGCGGGGAGAGCUCCGGGCACUGGGCGGCCCCUGGGGAGCCCAGGACUGGGGGAAGACCACCCACGAGGGGCGCCCUCACGGAGAGCUGGCACUGGCUCUGCAGCCUGGCCCACAGGUGACAUUGACACAGAGGCUGGAGCCCCUGGGACAGGGCUCGCCCCAGCCCCAGCCGCUGGCUGGACUACCCAGGGCUCCCUGUAGCCAGGACGUGCGGAGCCCGCCAGCCUCCAUCCUCGCAGCUAUGGAGGCCCUGGGUCCUGGGGGCGAGCGCACCUCCCCGACCGCCUCUCCACGAGGCCUGGACUUGCGGCGGCGGUCCACGGGCGCCGACUCGGCCUAUAGCUCCUUCUCCGCGGCCUCCGGGGGCCCUGAGCGGCGCACCCCAUCGCCGGGACCUGAGGUCCCGCCGCACCUGGACCGGGA